GGGUCUGUAGCUCAGUUGGUUAGAGCAGGGGACUCAUAAUCCCUUGGUCGCUGGUUCGAGUCCAGCCAGACCCA
rfam:Proteobacteria bacterium ST_bin16 4718, whole genome shotgun sequence.